rnacentral:rRNA from 1 species
UACGAAGGGGGCUAGCGUUGCUCGGAAUCACUGGGCGUAAAGCGCACGUAGGCGGAUUGCUAAGUCAGGGGUGAAAUCCUGGAGCUCAACUCCAGAACUGCCCUUGAUACUGGCGGUCUCGAGUCCGGGAGAGGUGAGUGGAACUGCGAGUGUAGAGGUGAAAUUCGUAGAUAUUCGCAAGAACACCAGUGGCGAAGGCGGCUCACUGGCCCGGUACUGACGCUGAGGUGCGAAGGCUAGGGUAGCAAACAGG